GUUAGCUCUUCCCACAGGGCUCUCAAGGGAGACUGGGGAUCCUGUUAUGGUGGUCUUUUUCCCGACACUUCCGGGUGUAAAUCCCCAUUGUCGGGGCUUCUUCAGGCGCCUGGUUCUCGGUGCAGGAAAGUGAAGAAACCGCAGCAGCUAGAACUGCGCGAUUCUCAGCCGGCGGGACGCUGUCCCCGGCCCGAGGGGAAGUGCACGGAGACGCUGGGGGACCCGGCAGCCGCGAGCGCCGGCGGCGCAGGGGAGCCCACCACGCGGCCACAGAGACGACUGAGGCGCCGGGCAGGCGGCACGCACCUCGACACCCUGCGCCCCGCCGCUCCGCCGGUCGGAACCCCGGGGUCGGCGCCGGCGAGGGAGCAACGCCGCCAGUCCGCACCGGCAGAGCCUAGUUCCUCAAGAACAUGAGCCUGGCGUGCUGCGGCCUCGGAGAAAUGGCGUCUGCAGGCCGAGUGGACCAGCUCCCGGCAGCACCGAAACCCGCCGGCACCCCCGCAUUUCCAGCACCCGACAGAUUCUUUCCGAGUGUUCCGGCGCAGGUGCUGCGCGCCUGCGCGAACGAGUCAGGACGUCCGCUCCCCUGGCGGACGCAGGCGUAACGACGACGUAAUGACGUAACUGUACAGGACGGCGGGGCCGCGGUGGCUGCCAGGACAUGUAGUCUUAAGCAAGAAACCGGCCAGCUCCAGCAGAAUCCGGGAGCAGCGACAGUGACCGAAACCGAACCUGAGGUCCUCAAGCAGACGUACCCCUGCAGCGCCUCUUCUGGGAGUGUGGAUUUCACCCUGCUGUGUUCUGAGUCGACCUAUCUCGCUGUACUCAAGUGACUCCCCAGAGGUUCUAGAAACCUCCCCACACACAACGUCAGAUUGAGUCUUAAUGUGAUGCCUUUAGGGAAAUGUAGUCCGAGGCCAGAAACGCUGCGGCAGACUGGGAGGCAGGGUCCAGAUUUCUCUCAGAGCUCUGGCCUGUACGCAGUGACCGCGAGAGCUGGGUUGCUAAGCAGCUCGAAGGGGUCAGACUGUGUGUGUUUGUGUUUCCCAGUGCCCUCUGCCGUGGUGGAGGUGAGGAAGGGAGGACGGUGGUGUGUGUUCAGGCUGUGCUUGAGCCUGUGAGAGGGAAUAAGUGGAUAAGUGUGAUCCAUUUCGGAUUGUGUUUGGUGGUAUGGGAAACGAGGUGAAACUGUGCACCAGAGAUUUGUUAAUAAGCACAAUUAAACCCAUGCACACCUUGCCUUAAAUUCAGGUGGAAUAUACUCAAGGUCAUAGUUUGGUUCUCAGGGACUUGCUCUGAUUUUCUUCAGUUUCAGCUUGAACUUGCAAAUGAGCAAUUGAUGGUCUGUUCCACAGUUGGCCCCUGGCCUUGUUCUGACUGAUGAUAUUGAGCUUUUCCAUUGUCUCUUUCCACAGGUGUAGUCAAUUUGAUUUCUGUGUGUUCCAUCUGGCAAGGUCCAUGUGUAUAGCCACCGUUUAUGUUGCUGAAAGAAGGUAUUUCCAAUGAAGAAGUCAAUGGUCUUGAGAAAUUCUAUCAUUCAGUCUCCAGCAUUGUUUCUGUCACCAAGGCCGUAUUUUCCAAAUACUGAUCCUUCUUCUUAGUUUACAACUUUCGCAUUCCAAUCGCCAGUAAUUAUCAAUUCAUCUUGAUUGCAUGUUCGAUCAAUUUCAGACUGCAGUAGCUGAUAAAAAAUCUUCUAUUUCUUCAUCUUUGGCCCUAGUGGUUGGUGUGUAAAUUAGAAUAAUAGUCAUAUUAACUGGUCUUCCUUGUAGGCAUAUGGAUAUUAUCCUAUCACUGACAGCGUUGUACUUCAGGAUAGAUCUUGAAACAUUCUUUUUGAGGAUGAAUGCAACACCAUUCCUCUUCAAGUUGUCAUUCCCCGCAUAGUAGGCUAUGUGAUUGUCCAAUUCAAAACAGCCAAUACCAGUACAUUUCAGCUCACUAAUGCCUAGAAUAUUGAUGUUUAUGCAUUGCAUUCCAUUUUUGACGAUUUCCAAUUUUCCUAGAUUCAUACUUUGUACAUUCCAGGUUCCAAUUAUUAAUGGAUGUUUGCAGCUGUUGUUUCUCAUUUUGAGUCCCGCCACAUCAGCGAAUGAAGGUCCUGAAAGCUUUACUCCAUCCACAUCAUUAAGGUCGACUCUACUUAGAGGAGGCAGCUCUUCCUCAGUCAUCUUUUGAGUGCCUUCCAACCUGGGGGGCUCAUCUUCCAGCACUAUAUCGGACAAUGUUCCGCUGCUAUUCAUAAGGUUUUCACUGGCAGAAUUUAGCGCAUGCUAAAACACUGUGUCUAUGGGGAGACUGGGAACACUACAUGCAUGCUUAGGAAAAAACGGAUGCUCAUCAAACACCUAAGAAGAACCUAUCCUUUGGCCUCAGACUGACCCUGAAGCACAGAUCAAAGUUGCAAAGACAGGUUUUUUUUUGUAUGUUUGUAUUUUUUUUCUUUUCUUCUAUUUUUUCUCUUCUUUUUGUUGUCUCUUCUGUUAUGUCCAUUUUCCUUUUUUGUCUUUGUUUAGUGCAAGGAAAUAUCUUUUGAAAUACCAGUGUGAACAGGCUGGGGAACAGAGUCCUCAGGUCCAUGCACAUAGACACCAGUCAUUUAAAAAAUAUGUAGGAUGGUUCCUGAAAAAGUAGAACAUAGAACUACCAUAUGACCCAGCAAUCCUAGAUAUAUACCCAAAAUAUUUGAAAGGAGGAAUGCCAAGGGAAACCUGUACACCAAUGAUCAUUGCAGCACUUUUCACGGUAGCCAGAAGGUGGAAACAACUGAAAUGUCCGACAACAGGUGAAUGGAUAAACAAAAUGUGGUAUAUAAACAUAAUGGUACAUGUCUUGGUCAUCUACUGCUACCAUAACAGAAAUACCAUAAGUGGGUGGCUUUAACAAAGAGAAAUUUAUUUCCUCACAAUAAAGUUGGCUAAAAGUCCAAAUUCAAGACAACAGCUCCAGGAGAGGCUUUCAGUCUCUGUCGGCUCUGGAAGAAGGUCCUUGCCCUCAAUCUUCCCCUGGUCGAAGAGCUUCUCAGGUGCAGGGACCCCGGGUCCAGUGGACACGCUGUGCUCCUGGUGCUACUUUCUUGGUGGUAUGAGGUCCCCAACUCUCUCCUUGUUUCCCUUUAUCUCUUGAGAGAGAAAAAGUGGUACAGGCUGCACCAAAGGGAAACUCCCUUUAUCUUGGAUCGGGGGGUGACCUGAGUGAGGGUGGUGUUAUCCAACCCUAACCCUUUUAACAUAAAAUUACAAUCAUAAAUGGAGGACAACCACUCAAUACUGGGAAGCAUGGCCUAACCAACUUGAUACACACAUUUUUCGGGGGACAUAAUUCAAUCCAUGACAGUAUACUACUCAGCCAUAAAGAGAAAUGAAGUCCUGAUGCAUGCUACGAUAUUAUGUUGAGUGAAAUAAGUCAGUUCCAAAGGAUAAAUACUGUAUGGUGAUGAAUCUGUGAAACAUUUCAUAACACGGAGCAACCUGGAAGGCAUUAUGCUGAGUGAAAUUAGUUGCAAAAGGACAAAUAUUAUAUAAGACCACUAUUAUAAGAUCUCGAGAAAUAGUUUAAACUGAGAAGAACACAUUCUUUUGUGGUUACAAGAGGGGGCAGGGAGGAAAGGUGGGAGGAGGUAUUUACCAAUUAGAUAGCAGAUACCUACUUUAGGUGAAGGGAAGGACAGCACUCAAUACAGAGGAGGUCAACACAACUGGACUAAACCAAAAGCAAAGAGGUUUUCUGAAUAAACUGAAUGCUUCCAAGGUCAGCGAAGCAGGGGCAGGGGUUUGGAGACCAUGGUUUCAGGGGACAUCUAAGUCAAUUGGAAAAACAAAAUCUUAAUAGAAGAAAACCUCCUGCAUCCCACUUUGAAGAGUGGCGUCUGGGGGUCUUAAAGGCUAGCAAGCGGCCAUCUAAGAUGCAUCAAUGAGUUUCAAUGCACCUGGAUGAAAGGAGAAUAAACAACACCAAGGACACAAGGUAAUUAUGAGCCUGAGACAGAAAGGGCUACAUGAACCAGAGACUACAUCAUCCUGAGACCAGAAGAACUAGAUGGUGCCCAGCCACAACUGAUAACUACCCUGACAGGGAACACAACAGAGAACCCCUGAGGGCGCAGGGAAACAGUGGGGUGCAGACCCCAAAACCUUGUAAAAAGACCAGACUUAACUGUCUGACUGAGACUAGAAAGGCCCCGGCAGUCAUGGUCCCCUAACCUUCUGUUGGCCCAGGACAGGAACCAUAUGUGAAGCGAACUCAUCAGACAUGGAUUGGACUGCACGAUGGGUUGGAGACAGAUGCUGCUGAGGAGUGAGCUACUUACAUCCGGUGGACACUUGAGACUGUGUUGAUAUCUCCUGUCUGGAGGGGAGAUGGGAGGGUACAGAGGGUUAGAGGCUGGCAAUAUGGUCAUGAAAAGAGAGACUAGGACUUCAGUCUAGUUAUAGGCCUAGAAGCAACAAUGGGUGUUGGGAAUGUGUCUGGAGAACAUUCAGCAAUGUCUUGUAAGACAUCUGCCUUAAGGGAUGAUGCCCCAGGCAGUGACUCAGACAUCACCCUAGUGGACGACUGAGACAAAGGCUCUUCAGACAUAACUGGGUUAAUCUCAGCAGAUGGGGGUCUGAGGGGCUAAUAGUUUUCCUGGGGAGGGUGGUUUAGCAGCCAAACAUGGAGUAAUCCCUUCAGGUGGGAGCUGCUAUUUGGUGAUGGCCUUGCUAUUCCUCAAUGAAACUCAUUUUCUUUCACUCCUAAUAGAGUGUGGGAUUUUGUUCUUCAACAAUACAAACAAACAGAAAACAUGACCAGAGCCUUUGCAGCAGCAAAUUAGCUAGGAGAAGAUUAUAAUGUAAUGCUUUCAAGUUCUGAUUUAAAGUAGAAUUCUAACCCAGGCAAAAUGUGAGGGCAAUCAAGGCAUUUCCAGACAAGUAAGUAAGAACUUAAACAUCUACUUGCAAGGCAUGCACCUUGAGGAAACUGUUGGAGAAAGGAAAUCGGCACAAAGGACUGAUGAGAAAAAAAAAAAAAGACUGUUUAGGCAUAGAAAAUAAAAACAGGCAUCUGAUCUGUCUGUAAAGAGACUAAAGUAACUCUAAGCGCUCAAUGUAGUCUUUCACCUUAGGUUUGGCGUUGGCUGUCUAGCAGCUCCAGGUAAGCUUUCCCCCAGGUUCUACCUUCCUUCCCUAGGAACCAACCCAUCACCAUGAAGGAAAUGAGUUGCUUUGCGGAUCAGGCUAAAGAAUGUGAAGACUUAAGGCAAACUUUUGGUAUCAGCCUCCUCAGGUUUCUGACAUGCCCAGCAAAGUGAGAGAUCAUGGAAACUCCUUGUUUCCAUUCUCAUCUGGAGAGCUAACAUUCUGAGCAACGUGAUUGUUAACCAACCAGUCUUGAGAAUAUCCGUCCUGUGGCUGCUUUGUAAUCAACGUGAAACCCCCUUGACCUCCUGUCUUUCAAUUGUGUCUUGUAGCCAGUCAAUCGACUCACGUAAGCAAUAAUGACAACGAUUGUGCUUUACUUGUCGCGCCUUUGAUUGACCUUCGUCACUGUGAACCAACAAGAAAAACUGUAAUUUUAUUUUCCCCCUUCAGCACUCUGAUUACUCCUGAUUUGCCUUCUUCCCCUGAGAUUCCGGAACGUCAGCCUGAGACUUUGCGAUCUCCCACUGCCACGUCUCCGCUGCAAUAAAUCUCUUUCGAUUUUACCUUAAGGGAGCUGGAAAGUCAUUUCUCUCCAACAUUUUGGCGUAGUUAAUCGGCAGGGUUUUUGAAGUUACCCUUCCCCCGGAGACCCGAAGACCUGAAACACGGGACUCUGGCACCCAGGGCCCCUUUGUGUGCCCCUCCCUGCAGCUUUUUCGGACCCUUCUGGCUGUCUGGGGGGAGAAGGGAGCAGAGAGACUGGAGGACUUCAUUACCACCAAGCAGAAGAGCCAGGAGCAUUUGCUUUGAACCAGGGGCCCCUGCACUGAGAAGCUGCUAGAUCUGGGGAAGACUGAUGACAAGGACCUUCUCCCAGAGCCAACAGAGAGAGAAAGACUUUCCUAGGAGCUGACGCCCUGAAUUCAGACUUCUAGUCUCCUAGACUGUGAGAGAAUAAAUUACUCUUUGUAAAAGCCA